rnacentral:rRNA from 1 species
AUUGAACGCUGGCGGCAGGCCUAACACAUGCAAGUCGAGCGGAUGAAGGGAGCUUGCUCCUGGAUUCAGCGGCGGACGGGUGAGUAAUGCCUAGGAAUCUGCCUGGUCGUGGGGGAUAACGUCCGGAAACGGGCGCUAAUACCGCAUACGUCCUGAGGGAGAAAGUGGUGGAUCUUCGGACCUCACGCUAUCAGAUGAGCCUAGGUCGGAUUAGCUAGUUGGUGGGGUAAAGGCCUACCAAGGCGACGAUCCGUACCUGGUCUGAGAGGCUGAUCAGUCACACUGGAACUGAGACACGGUCCAGACGCCUACGGGAGGCAGCAGUGGGGAAUAUGGGACAAUGGGCGGAAGCCUGAUCCAGCAAUGCCGCGUGUGUGAAGAAGGUAUUCGGAUUGUAAAGCACUUUAAGUUGGGAGGAAGGGCAGUAAGUUAAGACCUUGCUGUUUUGACGGUACCAACAGAAUAAGCACCGGCUAACUUCGUG